rnacentral:tRNA from 1 species
UCCCUGAUGGCUCAGAUGGUAAAGCGUCUGCCUGCAACGCAGAAGACCCAGGUUCGACCCCUGGAUUGGGAA